ACGUUAACUUUCAUGGUGGUUGGUUACGAUGAUACUUUUAAUGAAUCAAAUAUAUCUAAUUAGGUAGGCCCGCCCUACGGGCGGGUAAAUAAAUGAACAAAUAAUAUAAAUUGAUUUAAAAUGUUUAACUUAUUCUUAACUAAAAUUAAAAUUAAUUUUCAGGUUUUUUUAAAACAAUUUAUCGAUUUAUUUGACAAUUUAUUUUAAAACUAUAAACUUUUUAAUUAUAAUUUUUUUUAUAAAAUAUUAUUAUUUUGCGUUAUUUUAAUGUUUGUUUUAGUUUAUCUGUAGUAAUAGUUAGAAUUAGUUUUAAAAAUUACUCGAUGAGUUUACCAAAGUUAUAAGUAAUAAGUAGUGCGAAGUUUGAUCCAUUCUAACUGCAUCUAUAUUUAAGUUAGAUAGACUACAGAAAAAUUUGCUAGUGAUCAUUACUAUUUGAAAUUAUACAUUUUUUGAGUCUUAAAUACAUUACUAUUGUGUUUGAAAAUAAAACUAUCAGGUAAUCUAAGAAACUCAUGAUUAGAAUUUUAUAAAUAAAUGGUACUUGGCAAUUAGCAUAGUAUAAUUUAUGUGCAUACUCAACGUAACAAUAUAUCAGAUAACGUAAUUACCUUUUAGUUAGAUGAUACCUUCCAUAGCAUGACUUGCAGAGACGCCGAUGUUUCCUCAGUUGAUCUCAGUUCAAGUCUUUCAACAUCAGAUUCAAUCAUGUGAAAAAGUUUUUGUGAUAUAUAUUAUGAUUGUGAGCAAUGAAAUUUUGAAUUCAUGGAUGCAAUCUAAGCCAUUUAUAAUUGCAGAUUUACUAUCUCGAAGAAAGGAGGAUGCAAUGAAUGUGAAAACGUGAAAGGAAUGGGGACAUGAAAUUAAUGACGGUGUUGCAUCUGAAUGUGUCUUAAAUCUCCGUGCUCCGGUAAAAGUCCAGCAUUCGUUGGGUUGGAUUUUGAGGUACGAUAAAUCUUAUAGGAUUAGAAAAAUUUAUUUUUUCUAGAUAAUUAUGUAUUUCUAAAAGGAUAAAUAAAUCGGGUUUUGGAACUGCUAUAGAUAUGGGUCUAAGAGUUGUAAAGUUAUUAUUCACAUAAUAAUAAAAAAAUCCUAAACGGAUAUUUGCCUUAAUAUAUUUUUGCUCUCUUUUGCUUUCUUCGAGUUGAUUCGCGUUUGUUCACAGCAGACGGUGAAUCAAUGCUACUUGUAUGGUUCCAGGGUGAAGAAUAACUAACGAAACGACAUAACAUGAAAAUGACAUAUAGCUUACUCACGAAGACUUGGCUCUACGCCCUCUUCGAGCCUUCAUUGAUGGCAAACAUAAUCAGAAUUUGCAGGAGAGGAUAAACCGAAGAAUGUAUUGCAGCUUCUCGUAACGAAGGUGAAAGUGAUUCUGUGGGCCAAACUUUUGUUGGGUUUCAGCAUAAAUUAUGAUAUCAAAAGAAUCCAUACUUUAUUCAUUUGUGAGAUCCCGUUAAACCAAAUGGAAGAAAUCAAAAUUCUACCAGAACAUGAUGUGUGACACUUUUUCCUUUCACUAUUACGUCAGUCUGAGAAGUGAGUAAAUAUGUCUUUUAUAUAGUAAGAUAUAUAACAACAACUUAUAUAAUUUCAACGAAAAGAGUAAUCGAGGUUCUCAUACUGAUUUUUGCUACAUCUUUCCCGGAAAAGUAGACAGUUGCCCUCUAUUUCUUUUUUGUUCAAAGAUUUGUAAGAAAUUCUUGUUGUUCAAAGAUAUUGGUAAGGAAUAGUACUUUUUAUCGGUAUAUAUAAAAAACAAAUUCAUAACCAAUAAUUUAAAAUGGACUGAUUUAACAAAUAAUCAUUAUAGUAUAUGUUUGACAAAAAAAAAAAAGUGGAAAAGUGUAGCCUGUUUUUGGGCUUCUCUCUUGAAUUGAUGUUGACAAUUUUUUUUUUACAAAAUUGGUCUUACAUUUUGAAAUAGGCUUUUUGUUACAUGGGCCUGUUGUUUAGGUUUUUUGUAUGUUUGAAGUUUGAGCUGUGGAUUUUCUUACAGCCGUUUAACGUGUUGUGAAAGCAAUUUCUGUCUCGUCUCUCGUCCCCACCGCCUAAGCAAAUGUCACCGCCACAGUCUCUUUGGAUGGGAAGGAGAGGUUCUCAGGGUCUCUCGCUUAUGUCUACGUCUUCUUCCCAUUUCUAUGUUCUCUCCGUCUCAUAAUGUUUUAUGUUGCUGUCUCUAUCAAAGAUCUCUGGAGUUUCGGUGUGUUAUCGGAGUCCAUCUUGCCAUAGGAGUCGAAGAUAUAACUCGGGUCUUUAGAUCUCGUGUCUGGUGUAUAGAUAUGUAGAUCGUGUCAAAUAUGGCGGUAGUCUUCUUUGGAUUAGUCCACCGACAGUUUCCAACAUCUGGUGUAGGUGGCCUUCUUGGACCCAAUUCUUGUUGUGGUAACAGCUCUGAUUUGGUUGUGCGGUGGCUUGCUUCCUGUUAGUUUCUGUGGAGAAAAGACCGAGUUCAAGAAGCUGGUUCGAGUAUUUUUGAAGCAACGCAGCGUGUAUUUCAAGUAGUGGGUUAAAAGGCUUUAACCAGCUUUGGACACUACUUUUCACAUCGCAAAGCAAGCCGGUUAAGAGGCUUUAAAUCUUGCUUUUCUUGCUUUCUUAGAGACUUCCAAAAAAGUAGAAUAAGAAUUGAAAAAGCUCUGGUUUUUCUAUUUUUCUAAGAAGACGUGGGGCAACAUACAACAAAAGCGAUGGAAGAUGCUAAGGCCAUCGCUUCAUCGGCGUUUUUUGCUCACCUUCUGCUCCCUCAUGUUUACUCUGCAGUAUCUUUCCACCGAAUCUCUUGUGUCUUUUUUGUAAAGUCCAAUAAUAUGAUUCGUAGCCCAUAAAUUAAAGAGACGGUAAAGCCCGUUAA